rnacentral:lncRNA from 10 species
AUGGCGACUGUCGAACAGGAAACCACCCCUACUUCUAAUCCUGUGACUACAGAAAAGGAGAAAACAGAAUCUAUUCAGGAGGUUGCUAACCCAGAACACUAUAUUAAACAUCCUUUACAGAACAGAUGGGCCCUCUGGUUUUUUAAAAAUGGUAAAAGCAAAAACUUGGCAAGCAAACCUGUGGCUGAUCUCUAAGUUUGAUACUGUUUGAAGACUUUUGGGCUCUGUACAACCAUAUCCAGUUGCCUAGUAAUUUAAUGCCUGGCUGUGACUACUGACUUUUUAAGGCUGGUAUUGAGCCUAUGUGGGAAGAUGAGAAAAACAAACUGGGAGGACGAUGGCUAAUUACAUUGAACAAAUAGCAGAGAUGAAGUGACCUCGAUUGCUUUUGGCUAGAGACACUGCUGUGCCUUAUUGCAGAAUCUUUUGAUGACUACAGCAAUGAUGUAUGUGGUGCUGUUAUUAAUGUUAGAGCUAAAGGUGAUAAGAUAGCAAUAUGGACUACUGAAUGUGAAAACAGAGAAGCUGUUACACAUAUGGGGAGGGUAUACAAGAAAAGGUUAGGACUUCCUCGAAAGAUAGUGAUUGGUUAUCAGUCCCACGCAGACAUAGCUACUAAGAAUGGCUCCACCACUGAAAAUAGGUUUGUUGUUUAA